rnacentral:ncRNA from 1 species
AAAAAUGCGAUGACGGGGAAAGUAGGAAGCUUUCUUUGCUCCAAAGCGAGCCGGGGUUUGGUGAAAGCCCGGUGGGCAUAAGCUUUUCGAAGAUCACCCCUGAGUAUUGGCCCGAAAAAAGAGUAGGCGCCAGCGGCAAAAAGCCGUUAUAUUAAAUGAGCCCCAAAUUAGGGUGGUACCGCGGAAAUAACCCGCCCCUUCC